AAUCAACGCUGGCGGCGUGCCUCAGACAUGCAAGUCGAACGCGAAAGUCCCCUUCGGGGGGACAAGUAGAGUGGCGCACGGGUGAGUAACACGUGGGUAAUUUACCUUCGGGUGGGGAAUAACAGUCGGAAACGACUGCUAAUACCGCAUGAUGCAGCGGCACCACAUGGUGACAGUUGUUAAAGCGGGGGAUCGCAAGACCUCGCGCCUGAAGAGAAGCCCGCGGCAGAUUAGCUAGUUGGUAAGGUAAUGGCUUACCAAGGCAACGAUCUGUAGCCGGCCUGAGAGGGCGGUCGGCCACACUGACACUGAAUAACGGGUCAGACUCCUACGGGAGGCAGCAGUCGGGAAUUUUGGGCAAUGGGCGCAAGCCUGACCCAGCAACGCCGCGUGAAGGAUGAAGUAUUUCGGUAUGUAAACUUCGAAAGAAUGGGAAG
rnacentral:rRNA from 1 species